rnacentral:rRNA from 1 species
UACGUAGGGAGCAAGCGUUGUCCGGAAUCAUUGGGCGUAAAGCGCGCGUAGGUGGCCACAUAAAGUCCGUUGUGAAAGUCAAAGGCUCAACCUUUGAAAGCCGAUGGAUACUGUGUGGCUAGAGUACGGAAGAGGCGAGUGGAAUUCCUGGUGUAGCGGUGGAAUGCGCAGAUAUCAGGAGGAACACCAAUAGCGAAGGCAGCUCGCUGGGACGUUACUGACACUGAGGCGCGAAAGCGUGGGGAGCAAACAGG